CCUACGUGAGGCAGCAGUGGGGAAUAUUGGGCAAUGGGCGCAAGCCUGACCCAGCAACGCCGCGUGAAGGAAGAAGGCUUUCGGGUUGUAAACUUCUUUUAAGGGGGAAGAGCAGAAGACGGUACCCCUUGAAUAAGCCACGGCUAACUACGUGCCAGCAGCCGCGGUAAAACGUAGGUGGCAAGCGUUGUCCGGAUUUACUGGGUGGAAAGGGCGUGCAGCCGGAGAGAAAAUUCAGAUGUGAAAUCAACGGGCUCAACCCGUGAACUGCAUUUGAAACUGUUUCCAUUGAGUGUCGGAGAGGUAAUCGGAAUUCCUUGUGUAGCGGUGAAAUGCGUAGAUAUAAGGAAGAACACCAGUGGCGAAGGCGGAUUACUGGACGAUAACUGACGGUGAGGCGAGAAAGCGUGGGGAGCAAACAGGAUUAGAUACCCCAGUAGUC
rnacentral:rRNA from 1 species